AUUGAACGCUGGCGGCAUGCCUUACACAUGCAAGUCGAACGGCAGCGCGGGCUUCGGCCUGGCGGCGAGUGGCGGACGGGUGAGUAAUGCAUCGGAACGUGCCCAGGAGUGGGGGAUAACGUAGCGAAAGUUACGCUAAUACCGCAUACGUACUGAGGUAGAAAGCGGGGGAUCGAAAGACCUCGCGCUCAUGGAGCGGCCGAUGUCGGAUUAGCUAGUUGGUGUGGUAAAAGCUCACCAAGGCGACGAUCCGUAGCUGGUCUGAGAGGACGACCAGCCACACUGGGACUGAGACACGGCCCAGACUCCUCCGGGAGGCAGCAGUGGGGAAUCUUGGACAAUGGGGGAAACCCUGAUCCAGCAAUGCCGCGUGUGGGAUGAAGGCCCUCGGGUUGUAAACCACUUUUGGCAGGAAAGAAAUCGCCUGUGCUAAUACCAUGGGCGGAUGACGGUACCUGCAGAAUAAGCACCGGCUAACUACGUGCCAGCAGCCGCCGUAA
rnacentral:rRNA from 1 species